rnacentral:tRNA from 2 species
UCCUCGAUAGCUCAGUCGGUAGAGCAGCGGACUGUUAAUCCGUUGGUCGCUGGUUCGAGUCCAGCUCGAGGAGCCA